ensembl:snRNA RNU1-83P RNA, U1 small nuclear 83, pseudogene
AUUCUUACCUGGCAGGGGAGAUAACAUGAUCACGAAGGUGGUUUUCCCAGGGCGAGGUUUAUCCAUUGCACUCUGGGUGUGCUGACCCCUGUGAUUUCCCCAAAAGUGCGAAACUCGACUGCAUGAUUUGUGGUAGUGGGGGACUGCAUUCAUGCUUUCCCCUA